rnacentral:rRNA from 1 species
AACGAACGCUGGCGGCAUGCCUAACACAUGCAAGUCGAACGAGACCUUCGGGUCUAGUGGCGCACGGGUGCGUAACGCGUGGGAACCUGCCCUUAGGUUCGGAAUAACUCCCCGAAAGGGGUGCUAAUACCGGAUAAUGUCUUCGGACCAAAGAUUUAUCGCCUUUGGAUGGGCCCGCGUUGGAUUAGCUAGUUUGUAGGGUAAAAGCCUACCAAGGCGACGAUCCAUAGCUGGUACGAGAGGAUGAUCAGCCACACUGGGACUGAGACACGGCCCAGACUCCUACAGGAGGCAGCAGUGGGGAAUCUUGGACAAUGGGCGAGAGCCUGAUACAGCAAUGCCGCGUGAGUGAUGAAGGCCUUAGAGUUGUAAAGCUCUUUUACCCGGGAUGAUAAUGACAGUACCGGGAGAAUAAGCACCGGCUAACUCCGUG